GCAAAACUUGUUCCUCUCCCGCCGGCAAUCCAGUUGAUAUAGCAAGUUUUGAUUGAUGGGUGUGAUUGAAUUAUGCAACAUUUCAUCUAUUAGCAUUGUUAGAGCAAAACCCAGUUCUUUAAACGAAGGGAAUCGGAGGAGGAGAAUUGCUUGUAUGGCCUCUUCAGUGUCAGUGCAAGAAGAGGAGAGCCAUCAGCAGAAACAAGGUGUAAAUGGGGGUUCUUUUAUUCGGACCCAUCUUCUUAAAUUGUCCCCUUACCAACCCAUUUUGCCAUUUGAGGUCUUGUCCACUCGUCUUGGUAGAAAGCCUGAGGACAUUGUGAAAUUAGACGCUAACGAAAACCCCUAUGGACCUCCUCCAGAGGUAAACGAAGCUUUGGGGUCUAUGAAAUUUCCAUACAUUUAUCCUGAUCCUGAAAGCCGCACGCUGCGUGCAGCUCUUGCUGAAGAUUCUGGCCUUGAAUCUGAGUAUAUUCUUGCAGGGUGCGGUGCAGAUGAACUCAUUGAUUUGAUAAUGAGAUGCGUAUUGGAUCCUGGUGACAAGAUUGUUGACUGCCCACCCACUUUCACAAUGUAUGAAUUUGAUGCAGCUGUAAAUGGAGCAGGUGUCAUCAAGGUGCCUAGGAACCCAGACUUUAGCCUGGACGUUGAACGGAUUACCGAAGUGGUUGAACGUGAGAAACCAAAGUGCAUAUUUCUGACAUCACCUAAUAAUCCUGAUGGGAGUAUAAUUGAUGAUGAAACUCUUUUGGAAAUACUUCACCUGCCCAUAUUGGUAAUAUUGGAUGAAGCAUAUGUUGAGUUUUCUGGAAUGGAGUCUAAGAUGAAGUGGGUGAAGAAGCAUGAAAAUCUGAUUGUUCUUCGCACGUUCAGCAAAAGAGCUGGUUUAGCUGGACUAAGAGUAGGAUAUGGAGCUUUUCCACGGAGUAUUAUUGAAUUCCUUUGGCGAGCAAAGCAACCAUAUA
rnacentral:misc_RNA from 1 species